rnacentral:rRNA from 1 species
UACAGAGGGUGCGAGCGUUAAUCGGAAUUACUGGGCGUAAAGCGUGCGCAGGCGGUCUGUUAAGACCGAUGUGAAAUCCCCGGGCUUAACCUGGGAACUGCAUUUGUGACUGCAUAGCUAGAGUACGGUAGAGGGGGAUGGAAUUCCGCGUGUAGCAGUGAAAUGCGUAGAUAUGCGGAGGAACACCGAUGGCGAAGGCAGGUCUCUGGGCCAUUACUGACACUGAGAAGCGAAAGCAUGGGGAGCGAACAGG